CAAUAGGUAAGACUGUACAUUGCAGUAUGAAUGUCCAAUACACACAAGACUGCCUGGUGAGGUGAUUUCCCACAGUCAAAGUCCUGCAAUAUGAGCUACAAUGGUAAUAUUUGGCUACACUCUUCAUAAUUGUGUUCUGUGGGUGUCACUGAAUAGGCUGAUACCCCAUUUCAUUGAUCCACAAUCCAUAGGUAAGGCUGUACAGUGAAAUAUAAGUAUGCCCCCAAUGCAAUUAUGAAAUCUAAUAAAUCCACAGUGCGACUUCAAUCGAUUUGCCAUUUUUUGGUCAAAUUAACUUAGUCUUUUGUUGAAUUUAUAUAACUUGUUAAGCAGUAUCUAGCGCAAAUAUGCCAUGAUUUCACAAUGUGCCAUUUCAAUGCGGGGCCUUUAUUUUGAAGGUGAACCGCAAAAAUAUGUGUGUUUAGCUUUACAUACAGUGCUGGCCGAUACUGAAAACAGAUUACAUGCUUUCCGUGUGGAGGUAUGCAUCGAAAACUUGGGUCAGCUAGCUGCUACAAGGGACUUACAGGUGGAGUGGCAUUGCUGACAGGCCAGGGACCAUACUCACAAAGAAUCUCAGAGACACUGCAUGGCUGUGACAUGGGCCUGGAUGGUGACACAUCUUCAAGCUGCCGGACUGAAGACUGGCCUUCAUUGGUACCAGAAGCAAGGGUCUUACCUGGGAAUACAACAACAGUCUCCCUCUCGGUCUCACAGCCUUUCCUGUCAACAUGUAUGUAACCACUCAAAUUCAUACCAACAGCUACGGACACAAGCACUGACUUUUAUUCACUUAUUUUUACUUGUCGCAGUCUUCAAUCUUGUCUGGGAUAUAUAUUUUAGUUGCCAAACCUGUGUGAUGUCUGAUAUACAUGAAAAAUGUAUUCACCUUGGACAUGAGAAUUGUAUUUACUUUAGACCUUUUGAAUCAUAAGUGUUGUCUUUGUGUUUAAGCUACCACAGAAGUUAGUCAAAGCUAAUGUGACAAACAUGCAUGUAAAAAUUGUUUUGUAAUCUAACAAUACAAUGAAAAUGAGUUUAUACAAUACUAUAUUGCAUUUGGUCACCACCUAAAUGUGGCCUUUAAAAGCCUUGAUAGUUGCAUCCUUCCUCAGUGAACUGUCUGCGGGUGGCAGGUUUUUUCAUGUGCUGCUCUAGAGUUCCACAGCCCAGUAGACUCACCUGUGGAUAGGGGGAUGGACGUGUUAGUUUUGAUAAAAGUCUGGGAGACUGGAGACUUUUACAGGGAGAAGAUCGCAUGAGUUUUGGCAUGAGUACAGUGAACCAAAUUUCAACCAGUGGCUCUGGAUAAUAUGUGACCCACCACCUGGAUUCGGUC